rnacentral:lncRNA from 1 species
UUUUUUUUUUUUUUUUUGGUCUUUUUGCCAUUUCUUUGGCUGCUCCUGUGGGAUAUAGAGGUUCCCAGGCUAGGGGUCGAAUCAGAGCUAUUUCAAAACAAAAAUGAAAACAAAAACAAAAAAACUGGAGAAAAUUUCAAAGUGAAAACAGAUGUCAUUGUCCUAGAGCCACACCUACCAUGCCCAGGCCAUCAGGGCUCCAGACAAUCUCUUCCCCAGAGGGUGAGAAUCAGGGAUGCAAAAGUCACAUCCACCAAGAGGUUUGGCACCUCCCAUCCAUUUUCCUUCCCUGUUUUACAUAUGUGACUUCUAUCUUUGUCUUUCAUUUACAUAAAAAUGAAUCUUAAUGAAAGAUAUGCUGAACAGCAAUACAGGAGUCAAUGCUGGGGCAAGAAGUGGACGAAAGGCAGAUCUGGUUUUCAAAACCUGAAAACAUGGUGGGGCCUGGGCCUCAGCAACCAUCAUGGAUCAGCCUGCACCUUCACUGCAUCAGCAAUCUCAUCUGGAAAGUCUACAAACUGGUAAAUUGGCCAAGGACAAGGGCAAGAUCUUGCUCCAGUAUCUGGACUUUGUGAACACAAGUUGGGAGAGGACGGGUGGGGUGACUUUCCCAUAAUGGUUUCAGGGUCACACCAUGCAGGGUCUCGUCCACCUCAGCCUUGAUCUACUGCCACAGUGGAGAGUGGGAAGCCCUCGAGGAGUUAUGUAAGUAAGGUUGGAGUGGGGGUGCAGGGAUCCAAAAUACUCGGGAGCUGUGGGCACUGCACUUUUUCCUUUUCUCCUCACUCCAUCUCCUGAAAAUCAUAAAUUCAAGAUCAAAACCCCAAACUCCACCAAGCAAAGAGUGCAAAAUGCCUCUGCUUUCAAUUAUAGCAUCUUUAUUUCUUAGAGAAACACACAUGCUGUGUGCAUUCCAGGAUUGGGCUGGGCGGCCCUUCAGGCUUCUGUAAGAAAGGGCCAGGGAUCUGCAAAGCCCAGGUCUUUUUGAACAGUCAGGGGAAGCAUUAGUAGCUUUUCCACAAAGCACUGAACUAUUUUGCAGGAGUAACAUAAGCCAGAACUGGUGGAAAUUAAAAUAGCAUAAACCAGACUUUAGGAAGCUCCCACAUGCUUGUGAACCACUGAAUUUAAAGAUGGAUGAUUGGGUGCUUAGGUUGAUAAAUAAAUGGAUGGAGGGAGGAAAUUCCAAUCAUAUCUUUAAUCUUUUCACUAGGCAUCUUUUUAAUAUUAGUCCACAAUAAAAACUCAGUAACAACAAGAAUUUUAAAUAAUAAAUAACAAUCAAUUCACUUGGCUAAAAAAAUAUUUUAAGGCUACAUAUUAAAAACCAGGAGUUCCCUUCAUGGAUCAGUGGUUAACGAACCCAACUGGUGUCAAUCCCUGGCCUUGCUCAGUGGGUUAAGGAUCCGGCGUUGCUGUGAGCUAUGGUGUAGGUUGCAGAUGCAGCACUGAUCUUGCAUUGCUCUGGCUGUGGCAGGCCAGGAGCUGUAGCUCCAAUUUGACCCCUAGCCUGGGAACCUUCAUACGCCAUGGGAGUGGCCCUAAAAAACAAACAAACAAACAAAAACAAAUCAUCCUCCCACUCCAGACCUCAGGUUCCCAGUCAUCACCAGGGUUAACAACUCCUAGCAUUUCUGGGGGUAUAUUUCAUCUAUAUUUAUGCAUUAUUUAUCAUUUUCAAAGUUCAUCUAAAUCUCACACCUUAAAGCUUUGUUAGGAAAGAGGGUUUAUUCAUCCAGUGAAGAAAAUCAUUUAUUCUCAUCUAGGAAAAAGAAUCUAAAAAUGCUGACAAGCAAUAAAAAUAGAACCAAUGAAUAUUCCUGUGUUUAAAGGCAAUGUGAAAACAACCAUUUCAGCAGCAAGAGAAAAGAUGCCACUUGGGAAAGUCAUUCUCAGUAAGAUACAGUGACAACCUAAGACAAUGAGAACGAGGCUAAGAGAAAGAGGAAAAAUGAGAAGGAAUAGAAAUCAGAGGAGGAAGGACAGCGAUUAAACAGAGUACUGCUUGUCUAACAUUGUUUUGUUUGGUUUGGUUUUAUGGGCAAACAAGAAAAGGUUAUGGCGGAUAAUGUGGCCUUUGAACUGAUCCCCAAAUGCCAGGACUCCGGAGCCUGUUAAAUAACACUGCAAGCAGGGAAGCAUAUCAGUGCACAUUGGCUUAAGGAUUUCAGGGACAUUUAUUUCUCAGAACUAGCAAAUUCGACAGCAAGAUGGGCUCGAGGCUCCUCCAGGGCCUAGGACCUCAAUUCUGGCUCCAGCCACUGGAUCCGGGUGGUCAAGGACACCCUAGCCUAGAACAGCAACACUUACUGGAAAUGGAGGGUGAUGUGUGGUUGUGAAAUUCCUGCCUGAGGGCACAGCCCCACAUCUUAGAUAGAAGCACAUUCUAUUGAGAAGCUGCAUGAGUGGCAGGGAUCAGACCAUCCCAGGGAGUCUUAAUCCAAGAAGGCGAGGGAUGCGCUGGAGACAGCUUCUGUGUUGUCAUGACAAACACGGCUCUCGUGACCUCACAGAACACUUGAGCGCUCAAGGGCCGGCAUAGCAGGACACUGAAGACUGCAAAACUCUCAAUAGGAGUUUCCUUACCACGAAUAGAAUGGGGGCCUGGGAGCUUCAGAAGGGACUGUAGCCAAAGACUCUGUUACAGAGGACACAGCCAGGAGUCAAGCACCCGGGACCGCAUGCUGGGCUCCCUAGCGCUGACGUGGACUGGCCUGCCUGGCCCAACUGAGCUCUGCCCAUUUCAGUUCCAAUCACUGGUGCUGACACAGCAAAGGAGGAAGAGAGGUGCUCUUCACACCACGAGUGGGACAGCACAGGACAGAACGGACAGUUUUAACUGCAUUGACCGGUGCCCUGCCUGCAGGAGCAGAAAAAAAAAAGUCCACGGACCUCGCACUGCCCAUAACGUGAGGAGGUGGCAGAAGGGACCCUUGCUGAGCUGAAUUCGUCCGUCCUUACCUCUCUCCAGGCGUAGUACCUCUCCGCUUUAAUAAGCAUGUCCACGACGAGGCUGUGGUUGCUCCUGGCAGCCAGGGCCAGGGCGGUCUUCCCUUGCUAAAAGUCAAAAAUCAAAAUAUCAGGCAAUGCAGCCUUCUGGGUAGGAGCUCUAGCUUUGCAACAAGGGGGCCUGGGUUCAAAUCCUGACCCUACUGCUGCCUUGCAGGGUGAACUUGAAAUCCUCAUCUUCUCUAGGUCUCCUUAACUGCCCCUCUGUGUAACGGUGAGGUGUAAGCCUGACAUGCAUAUAGGGCCCUUAGGACUGUGUAUGGCUUGGGGUAAUUAUCUAAGCGAUGCUAGAUAUUCAUAGUGUCAGGUGCUGGGUCAAUUGGGCAGGGGGAAGGAUUUGGGCUUAGGGACCCACCAGUGACGCUUUAUACAUGCAUGGUCAGUGGGAACUCAAGCAUUUCUCUAAGACCAUCAUGGGGUCACCCUGGCUCACUGCACUGGGACAGCCUCAGCAAAUAACAUGAGCAACUUUCUAAGUCAACUCGACACUAAAAUAAAUUUUUUUAAAAUGAGUUCUCAUUGUGGCUCAGCAGGUUAAGAACCCAACAUAGUGUCUGUGAGAAUGCAGGUUUGAUUCCUGGCCCCAGUGGGUUAAGGAUCCAGUGUUGUCACAAGCUGUGCUGUAGGUUGCAGGUGCGGCCAUACAAAGAAUAUUAAAAGUAAUACUUAAAAGAAUAAGAGAGACCUAAUUUUAGCUGGGCACUUGGCCGCCCUGAACACUUCCUGGCCUCCCUUACCGUUGCCCAUGUGAACUAACUUCUGGCUGAAUGGUAUAUAGAUGGAAGUAGUACAUGUGACUUCCGGGAAUUAUCUUUAAAGAGAGGCGGGAGGUCACGCACCUUCUUCCCUCCUCUUCCUUGAGUGGAAUGCUGCCAUGAUGGCGGGAGCCUGAACAGCCACUUUAGACCAGGAGGUGAAAGCCCCAGGUGAGGAGGGCAGAGUAAUAAAACAGAAAAGGGAUGGGUCUGAUUCCGAAUGAUAUAAAUAACAGUAACACUACAUAGUACAGAAUUCAGGUCAUUAGACUCCCAUCUGGAAUUUUGUCUAGGAGUUCCUGCUGUGGCUCAGUGGUUAACGAACCCUACUAGUAUCCAUGAGAACGCAGGUUUGAUCCCUGGCCUUGCUCAGUGGAUUAAGAAUCCAGCAUUGCUGUGAGCUGUGGUGUACGUUGCAGAUGUGGCUCCGAUUGCAAGUGGCUGUGGCUGUGGUAUAGGCCAGCAGCUACAGCUCUGAUUUGACCCCUAUUCUGGGAACCUCCAUAUGCUGUAGGUGCAGCCCUAAAAAGACAAAAAAAAAAAAAAAAAAAAAA